UGCUUUGAUGGAAGAGAUCUCCUCCUCCUAGUUCUCUCAUUACUACUUUAAUCUUCUUUGGGGCUAAGCUCCUUAUUAACAAAUGGACUAUUUUUACUCUAACAAACUUUGUCUUCUUCUAACUGUAGGAUGAUUAUGCAACACAUCUUUUGGUUCUUCCACAACUACAGCCAUAUGAACUUCAGUCAUAGCUAGCUUGUCAAUUUCAUGAAUCGAAUCAUUUAUUUUCUCAGGAGAAUUAACCACUACCGGUUCAUCAACAUUAGUAGCUGAGGAUAUUGAUGUUCUUGCGUGAGUUUGAACUAGAACAGGAAUAUAAGCUGAGGAUAUUGGUGUUUCUGUCUGAGCUUGAACUGGAAUAGGAAUCUGUUGUGCCUUGUCAGUUUUUUGCUUCUGAUUUUUCUGGAGACGGUACCACAACUCUAGUAACUUUUUUAAAUUUCGUUUGAUCCUCUCAAGUCAUUUUGAGGUUGAUAUUGCGCUGAUGAUUCGUGACUUUCCAUAGGUUACGCCUAGGUUUUUC
rnacentral:lncRNA from 1 species